CCAAAAUCUUGUAUGAUGUAUUGC
rnacentral:siRNA from 1 species